rfam:Ciona savignyi cont_47803, whole genome shotgun sequence.
CUUCGAGCGCGGACCGGCUGCCCACGUCCUUCUGAUCGAGGCUUCAUCCCAUAGCGGGUGUCAGGCCCUUGGCGGCGGCUGGCCCGGGCUCUCGGUGUCUUCCCGGAGUCGGGUUGUUUGGGAAUGCAGCCCAAAGCGGGUGGUAAACUCCAUCUAAGGCUAAAUACGGUCACGAGACCGAUAGCGAACAAGUACCGUGAGGGAAAGUUGAAAAGCACUUUGGAGAGAGAGUUAAAAAGUACGUGAAACCGUCGAGAGGCAAACGGGAGGGCCUGUCGGGUCGUUCGGUCGCUUUCAGGCGGGCCGGAGACCGGGUCGCGGGAUCGGGGACCUUCGCGGGCCUCGACUCGCGUCGCCGGCCGACGGCUCGGCGCACUAGCGUCGGACGAGGGCCGCGACCGGCUGGGCGGCGGGCAAACGGCUCCGGGCAAGGUAACCCCGCUUCGGCGGGGUGCUACAGGCCCGGUGCGCGCAAGGGUCGCCGCCCGGUCGAGGAGAGAUGCGCGCCGCACCUGCCCCGUUCGCGGGGCCGGGGAAGCCGUUCGAGCAGCGUCGUGUCGCGGUCCGGGACUGUCCUCAGCCCGCUAUCUCCCCUUCUUUUCAACCUCGUCCUCGACGAACUGUUUGAAGAACUCCCUUCGGAACUCGGCUAUGAAAUAAAAGGAUAUAAGAUCAACGCCUUAGCCUUUGCCGAUGACUUGACGAUCGUAGGUCAGACACCGGAGGGGACUCAAGAACUCCUCCAAAGAACGAUAGAGUUCCUCAACAGAAGGGGACUACGGGUUCAACCGAGCAAAUGCUUCUCCCUCGGAAUCACACACACUAGGGGGAAAACCUCAACAUCGCGGGUUAGAGUCGCUCCCUUCCUCAACAUCGAAGGAGCUGACCUGCCCGUCGUUCCCCCUAACAGCUGGAUUACCUUCCUCGGCAUCCGAAUCGGCCCUCAUGGAUCCUGCAGACUGCAACGGAAUACCAUCACCGAAGCACUCAGAAGUCUGAUGGGGGCCCAACUCAAGCCACAACAGAAGAUUUAUAUGCUGAGGAACCACUUGAUUCCGAGGUGGAGAUACGGUCUGUCCAUAUCGGAGCAAACGCAACAGACCCUCUACUGGGUCGACAGGGAAAUUAAAAGAACCAUAAAGAAGAUCCUCCACGCCCCAACAUCGAUGUCGGAUAAUUUCCUCCACCUUGCUCCGAAACAUGGCGGACUAGGCAUCUGCUCAAUGGUCGAAUGGGCGUAUGUCGCAAAGAUGCGCCUUAAAAGCAGGCUCGCCGAAUCCCAGGACCCUGCAAUAUCCGUCCUAGCUCCUAGUUUAUUCAGCAAAACCAAGGCUGUAAUAGGAGCCAGGCUAACGAAGAUAUUAGGAGAAGAGCCAACAUCCAAGUCUCUGCAACAACACCGCAUCGAGAACUUCUCCAAGCAGGUCCAGGGCUACGGUUCCAGUCAUUUUAAUAACAAUCACUCCAACAGCUGGUUAACAGGAUCAACCAGACUAAUGACUGGCCGUAACUUCGUGCAAGCUUGUGCACUCCGAACACAAACCCUGCCAACCCGCGAAGCCGUCUCAAGGGGAAGAGUCGGCGCGAACACCAUCUGCAGAAACUGCGGGCUGGCAGAGGAGACACUGUCCCACAUCCUGCAGAACUGCCACCGGACCAAUAAGAUCAGGAUUCAACGGCAUAACGCGGUUCUGCAGGUACUCAUCGAACAUCUACGUAGGAGAAAAUGGAAAAUCCAAGAAGAACCAUACAUCCCCACUCCUACGGGCAGUGUCAUCAAGCCUGAUGUUCUGGCCACGGAUCCUGACGGGAACCUAUUUGUAAUCGAUGCCGCCUGCCCAUACGAGGGUAACAACAACUCCCUCGACAAAGCAGCAGCGGCAAAGGUAAGCAAAUAUGCCCCUUAUAAAUCCUCCAUCCUUCGAUACAUAGGUGAGACUCCAACAUCAGUCGCCUUCGUCGGAUUCGUGGUGGGUGCUCGUGGCGCAAUGCCACCGCAGACGCAACACUUCUGCAAGCAGGUAGGUCUUGGUAAAGGCAAACUAGAACUUAUGUCGGUACGGGCCAUAGAAGGAAGCCUAAAAAUCUUCCGAUUAUUUAUGGCCCUGUAAUAUUAUCUCGGGUACGCACCCACGAAGUAUACGCUUGUGGUACUUCGGUAAUGCGAAAAGACACGGUGCUAUCGGACCUGACCUUCAUGGUAAGGAUCCGCGGCACCAAGUCAAACAUAGCCAAAUGCCUCGUCAUCUAAUUAGUGACGCGCAUGAAUGGAUUAACGAGAUUCCCGCUGUCCCUAUCUACUAUCUAGCGAAACCACAGCCAAGGGAACGGGCUUGGCAGAAUUAGCGGGGAAAGAAGACCCUGUUGAGCUUGACUCUAGUCCGACUUUGUGAAGAGACAUGAGAGGUGUAGGAUAAGUGGGAGGUCCUCGGGCCGACGGUGAAAUACCACUACUCCCAUCGUUUUUUUACUUAUUCAGUAAAGCGGGGAGCGACCCUCGGGUCCCGUUUCUAGCCUUAAGCGCGGCGCUCUCGGGCGCCGCGCGAUCCGCUCUGAAGACCGUGUCAGGCGGGGAGUUUGACUGGGGCGGUACAUCUGUCAAAGAGUAACGCAGGUGUCCCAAGGUGAGCUCAGCGAGGACGGAAACCUCGCGUAGAGCAAAAGGGCAAAAGCUCACUUGAUUUUGAUUUUCAGUAUGAAUACAGACCGCGAAAGCGUGGCCUAUCGAUCCUUUUGAACUUGCGAGUUUCAAGCAAGAGGUGCCAGAAAAGUUACCACAGGGAUAACUGGCUUGUGGCAGCC